rnacentral:rRNA from 1 species
UGCUUACUGCAUUUUUUCUUACACAUGUGUUUUUCUUUUUUUGAAAACUUUGCUUUGGUAGGCCUUCUAUAUGGGGCCUGCCAGAGAUUAAACUCAACCAAAUUUUAUUUAAUGUCAACCGAUUAUUUAAUAGUCAAAACUUUCAACAACGGAUCUCUUGGUUCUCGCAUCGAUGAAGAACGCAGCGAAAUGCGAUAAGUAAUAUGAAUUGCAGAUAUUCGUGAAUCAUCGAAUCUUUGAACGCACAUUGCGCCCUUUGGUAUUCCAAAGGGCAUGCCUGUUUGAGCGUCAUUUCUCCCUCAAACCCUCGGGUUUGGUGUUGAGCGAUACGCUGGGUUUGCUUGAAAGAAAGGCGGAGUAUAAACUAAUGGAUAGGUUUUUUCCACUCAUUGGUACAAACUCCAAAACUUCUUCCAAAUUCGACCUCAAAUCAGGUAGGACUACCCGCUGAACUUAAGCAUAUCAAUAAGCGGGGGAAA